rnacentral:rRNA from 1 species
UAUGUGAUCGUCUCUCGCAUAUCAAUAAGCGGAGGAAAAGAAACUAACAAGGAUUCCCCUAGUAACGGCGAGUGAAGCGGGAAGAGCUCAAAUUUGAAAUCUUAAAGGGUUUCCCUUUACGAAUUGUAGUUUAAAGAAGUGUUUUCUGUUGAGGUUUUGGUAAAAGUUCUUUGGAAUAGGACAUCAUAGAGGGUGAGAAUCCCGUAGUUUGACCUUUACUUUCAACUUUGUGAUACACUUUCAAAGAGUCGGAUUGUUUGGGAAUGCAGUCCAAAAUGGGUGGUAAAUUUCAUCCUAAAGCUAAAUAUUGGCGAGAGACCGAUAGCGAACAAGUACCGUGAGGGAAAGAUGAAAAGAACUUUGAAAAGAGAGUUAAACAGUACGUGAAAUUGUCAAAAGGGAAGCGUUUGACACCAGUGUUGUUUUUCUGAAAAUCAAUUAAAGAACUGUUUAUGCUAAGUUGUUUAGACUUUAUCAGCUAUCUGCUUAGUUUUGAGCUUUUCUUUAAUGCACUUUUCAGUUAACAAGUCAACAUCAAUUUCUUUUGCUGUAAAAAAGCUUGAGGAAGAUGGCUUGAGAUUCGUCUUAAGUGUUUAUAGCCUCUUGCCUAUGCAGUCGGAGAGAUUGAGGUCUGCAGCGUAGAUCCUUCGGGGCUAAAUGCAUUUGUGCUAAGUUAUAGCAUUUUAUAGACAACUUGUUGACUAUGAUUUGUCUUGUAGCUUACUCGCUUAUGUUAUUUUACCUACGCUUAGGAUGUUGAAGUCAUCGUAUCGCGC